rnacentral:rRNA from 1 species
AGCGAACGCUGGCGGCAGGCCUAACACAUGCAAGUCGAGCGCCCCGCAAGGGGAGCGGCAGACGGGAGAGUAACACGUGGGAACGUACCCUUUGGUCCGGAACAACCCAGGGAAACUUGGGCUAAUACCGGAUAAGCCCUUACGGGGAAAGAUUUAUCGCCGAAGGAUCGGCCCGCGUCUGAUUAGCUAGUUGGUGGGGUAACGGCCCACCAAGGCGACGAUCAGUAACUGGUCUGAGUGGAUGAUCAGCCUCACUGGGACUGAGACACGGCCCAGACUCCUACGGGAGGCAGCAGUGGGGAAUAUUGGACAAUGGGCGCAAGCCUGAUCCAGCCAUGCCGCGUGGGUGAUGAAGGCCCUAGGGUUGUAAAGCCCUUUCGGCGGGGAAGAUAAUGACGGUACCCGCAGAAGAAGCCCCGGCUAACUUCGUGCCAGCCGCCGCGGUAACAC